rnacentral:rRNA from 1 species
CUGGAGGUAUCAGAAGUGCGAAUGCUGACAUAAGUAACGAUAAAGCGGGUGAAAAGCCCGCUCGCCGGAAGACCAAGGGUUCCUGUCCAACGUUAAUCGGGGCAGGGUGAGUCGACCCCUAAGGCGAGGCCGAAAGGCGUAGUCGAUGGGAAACAGGUUAAUAUUCCUGUACUUGGUGUUACUGCGAAGGGGGGACGGAGAAGGCUAUGUUGGCCGGGCGACGGUUGUCCCGGUUUAAGCGUGUAGGCUGGUUUUCCAGGCAAAUCCGGAAAAUCAAGGCUGAGGCGUGAUGACGAGGCACU